GACGAACGCUGGCGGCGUGCUUAACACAUGCAAGUCGAACGGUGAAGCGCCUUCCUUUUUGGUGGGUGUGGAUGAGUGGCGAACGGGUGCGUAACACGUGCGUACCCUGCCCCCUUCUUCUGCAUAACCGCAUGAAAGUGUGUCUAAUACGGGAUCUCCUGGUUCUUUCUCAUGAUUGGUCUGGGUCAGAUAUUGUUUCGGUGGUGGAUGCGUUGGCGCCCUAUCAGGUUGUUGGUGGGGUGAGGGCCUUCCAAGGCGGUGACGGGUAGACGGCCUGGGAGGGUGGACGGCCAGAGUGGGAGUGAGGCACGGCCGAGACUCAUACGGGGGGCAGAAGUGGGGAGGAGUGCACAAUGGGGGAAAGCCUGAAGCAGCGAGACGGCGUAAGGGAUGGAGGCGUGCGGGUUGUGAACGUCUUUGGGCAGUGAAGCGGGUCUGCCUGGGUUGUGGGGGGGUUGACGGUAGCUGGAUAAGAAGCGCCGGCUAACUACGUG
rnacentral:rRNA from 1 species